CCAGGUUGAUUCUGCCUGACGUGGACGCUAGUCUCACAGAUUUAGCCAUGCAUGUGUAAGCGAAGCAUAAUGUGGAGCGGUAAAAGGCUCAGUAACGGGCGAUUUAUUUAUUCUCUUGAGAUGGACAACACCGGGAAACUGGUGGGAAAACAUCUAUGCUGCAGAACAAAAUUCUGUGGAGCAAAGGGCAACCUGCAAGAGAGUAAGAUGCCAUCCUAUCAGUUAGUAAGUAGGGUAAGGGCCUACUUAGACGAAGACGGGUACGGGGAAUGAGGGUUUGAUUCCGGAGAGGGAGCCUGAGAGACGGCUACCAGGACCAAGGUCAGCAGCAGGCGCGAAAAUUAUCGAAGCCCGCAUAGGGGCGAUAGUGAGGAGACGUAUAAGUAAUGUGCGGGUAAAGAACGCACUAUAAACUGGAGGUCAAGUCUGGUGCCAGCAUCCGCGGUAAUUCCAGCUCCAGGGGUGUCUAUGAUGAUUGCUGCGAUUAAAAAGUCCGUAGUCUAGCCGCACGACCAGUCUGGAAUGUUUCUGAUCAAAAGGAAAGCAGGGCUGGGAAGGCGGAGAAUUAGGAGCGACCAGGGGCUAGAGUAUUGGGUGGCGAGAGGUGAAAUUUGAUGACCCAUCCAGGAGUAACAAAGGCGAAGGCACUAGUCAGGGGCGAAUCCGAUGAUCAAGGACGUAGGCUAGAGUAUCGAAAACGAUUAGAGACCGGAGUAGUUCUAGCAGUAAACUAUGCCGACGCCGUGAUAUGAGGUUUUUGUAUUGCGGAAGAGAAAUCAAGUAAGGCUUUGGGGAGAGUACGCGCGCAAGCGAUAAAUUUAAAGGAAAUUGACGGAGGAACACCACAAGGAGUGGAGUGUGCGGCUUAAUUUGACUCAACGCGGGACAGCUUACCAGGCCCGAUGAACCGGGCGAGCGUAGUACGCGAUAGGUUUAGGAGUGGUGCAUGGCUGCUAUCGACAGUUGGGGUGACCUUAGGGUUAAUUCCGGCAAGUAGUGAGACCCCCGUUUGCGAAGACAGGCGUUGUAAGACGCAGGAAGGAGGGGACAAGAGCAGGUCAGUGAUGCCCUUAGAUGGCCUGGGCUGCACGCGCACUACAGUGGUCAUAAGAAUACGAAAGUAGACGAAAAGAUGAUCGAGAGGGACUGGGCUUUGUAAGAGGCCCACGAACGAGGAAUUGCUAGUAAUCGCAGGCUCAUUAGGAUGCGAUGAAUAUGUCCCUGUACCUUGUACACACCGCCCGUCGUUAUCGAAGAUGGAAUUGCAUGCGAACGAGCGUAAGCGAGUGAGCGUGUGGUUCUAGAUGUGAUAAAAGUCGUAACAAGGCAACUGUAGGAGAACCUGUAGUUG
rnacentral:rRNA from 1 species